rnacentral:misc_RNA from 1 species
GAUGAAGAACGUAGUGAAGUGCGAUAAGUAAUGUGAAUUGCAGAAUUCCGUGAAUCAUCGAAUUUUUGAACGCAAAUUGCACUCUCUGGUAUUCCGGAGAGUAUGCCUGUUUGAGGGUCAGUAAAAUAAAAAUCGAUGUUGUUGUCAAUGAUAACGCGUCGGAAUUGAGUCGUCUUACCUUUGGUUAAGUGACUUAAAAUUUUUACGCGAAUUCGAAACGUAUUUAAUGUUUAUGUACGUUUGCGAUAUUCCAAUAUUUAUUAGGUGCGGUCAUUCCUAUGAUUCGCGUCUAUAAUUUUUCAUUUCUUGACCUCAAAUCAGGUAAGAGUACCCGCUGAACUUAAGCAUAUCAAUAAGCGGAGGA